CAUCUUUUUGUUUUUAAAAGACCUUCUUCGGAGGGUAUGCUUAAAGAGGGGCUUGCGCCACAUUAGUUAGUUGGUGAGGUAAAGGCUUACCAAGAUUAUGAUGUGUAGCUGGACUGAGAGGUUGAACAGCCACAUUGGGACUGAGACACGGCCCAAACUCCUACGGGAGGCAGCAGUAGGGAAUUUUCGGCAAUGGAGGAAACUCUGACCGAGCGACGCCGCGUGAACGAUGAAGUAUUUCGGUAUGUAAAGUUCUUUUAUUGAAGAAGAAAAAAUAGUGGAAAAACUAUCUUGACGUUAUUCAAUGAAUAAGCCCCGGCUAACUAUGUGCCAGCAGCCGCGGUAAGACAUAGGGGGCGAGCGUUAUCCGGAAUUAUUGGGCGUAAAGGGUGCGUAGGCGGUUAGAUAAGUCUAUAAUUUAAUUUCAGUGCUUAACGCUGUCUUGUUAUAGAAACUGUCUUGACUAGAGUGAGAUAGAGGCAAGCGGAAUUCCAUGUGUAGCGGUAAAAUGUGUAAAUAUAUGGAGGAACACCAGAAGCGUAGGCGGCUUGCUGGGUCUUUACUGACGCUGAGGCACGAAAGCGUGGGGAGCAAACAGGAUUAGAUACCCUGGUAGUCCACGCUGUAAACGAUGAGUACUAAGUGUCGGGGAAACUCGGUACUGAAGUUAACACAUUAAGUACUCCGCCUGAGUAGUACGUACGCAAGUAUGAAACUUAAAGGAAUUGACGGGACUCCGCACAAGCGGUGGAUCAUGUUGUUUAAUUCGAAGAUACACGAAAAACCUUACCAGGUCUUGACAUACUCUGCAAAGCUAUAGAAAUAUAGUGGAGGUUAUCAGGGAUACAGGUGGUGCAUGGUUGUCGUCAGUUCGUGUCGUGAGAUGUUAGGUUAAGUCCUAAAACGAACGCAACCCCUGUCGUUAGUUGCCAGCACGUAAUGGUGGGGACUUUAGCGAGACUGCCAAUUAAACAUUGGAGGAAGGUGGGGAUAACGUCAAAUCAUCAUGCCCCUUAUGAUCUGGGCUACAAACGUGAUACAAUGGCUAUUACAAAGAGUAGCUGAAACGCGAGUUUUUAGCCAAUCUCAAAAAGGUAGUCUCAGUACGGAUUGAAGUCUGCAACUCGACUUCAUGAAGCUGGAAUCGCUA
rnacentral:rRNA from 1 species